ensembl:lncRNA
AUAGGAUUGAAGGGGAGCUGGCCUUGGAUUCUAGGAGGAGGAGAAGGAAAGAAAACGAAGGAAGAAGAAAGACAAAAGGGACUCCUGGGGCCUUCAGGAGGAGAAGAGCUGAGAAGCACUGGAGAUAAGUUGGCUCCGGCUCUUGGACCUUCGUCGUGUCUUGGAUCAGCUUUCCAUGUGGCGUUGGAGCCUGUCUGCACCUCUGGCUGGUGUCAGCGUAAAGAGCCCUGACUGAGACGUGGAAUGUGGCCGUCGCCUUCUGCUAUUUCCACCAGAAACCCACCGCAGAGCAUCAAUAGGAAACUACUGCAGAGUUUGGUACCCGGAACUGGAGAGCAGGACUGUGCCUAGCUUGUCCCCGAAGCGUCGGGAGGUGCAGUAUACCAGAAUAGAAGAGACUGUUUGGAAGACAAUGGAAAGAAUCCAGGAGAGAAGAAGAGGCUGACCACAACAGAGGCACGUUAAGGGAUGAAGUCCCUUAGAGG